rnacentral:rRNA from 1 species
CAGCAGCCACGGGAACACGGAGGAUCCAAGCGUUAUCCGGAAUCAUUGGGUUUAAAGGGUCCGUAGGCGGUCUUGUAAGUCAGUGGUGAAAGCCCAUCGCUCAACGGUGGAACGGCCAUUGAUACUGCAGGACUUGAAUUAUUGGGAAGUAACUAGAAUAUGUAGUGUAGCGGUGAAAUGCUUAGAGAUUACAUGGAAUACCAAUUGCGAAGGCAGGUUACUACCAAUUGAUUGACGCUGAUGGACGAAAGCGUGGGUAGCGAACAGGAUUAGAUACCCGCGUAGUCCCUGUCUCUUAUAC